rnacentral:rRNA from 1 species
AAUGAACGCUGGCGGCAGGCCUAACACAUGCAAGUCGAGCGAGAGGAGGACGGGUGAGUAAUGUCUGGGAAACUGACUGAUGGAGGGGGAUAACUACUGGAAACGGUAGAUAAUACCGCAUACCAUCAGAUGUGCCCAGAUGGGAUUAGCUAGUAGGUGGGGGAAUGGCUCACCUAGGCGACGAGCCCUAGCUGGUCUGAGAGGGUGACCAGCCACACUGGAACUGAGACACGGCCCAGACUCCUACGGGAGGCAGCAGUGGGGAAUAUUGGACAAUGGGCGCAAGCCUGAUGCAGCCAUGCCGCGUGUGUGAAGAAGGCCUUCGGGUUGUAAAGCACUUUCAGCGAGGAGGCGUUACUCGCAGAAGAAGCACCGGCUAACUCCGUGCCAGCCGCCGCGGUAAUAC